CUGCAUCCCGCGCGCAGUGGGCGUUACUAACGGAAAACUCCUGACUCUAGGAGCUCAAAUACAGUGAUGCUUAGGGUAUUGUGGACGCUCUUGCCCGUUAUUGACUAAUCCCCUCGGACCCAGCACCUGGUGAUGGUGAAGGGACCGGGAUGUGAAUCUAGGUAGCUUGAGCUGUGGCUCUAGCUAAGAACCGCGCGAAGCGUGUUGGAGAAUGUUUUUCCAGCUUACCUCAGUUUAAAAAAAAAAAAAAAAAAAAAAAAAAAAAAAAAACAAAAAAAAAAAAAAAACUAUCCGGAGCGGACGCACAGAUUCGCUGACUUGACAGUCGAGUAAUAUCGAUCUGAAAAAAAAAAGACAGUUGGUGCAAGGUUAAUUUGAACCAAAUCUCCUAGGAGCCAAGACUAAAGGAUCAGAGCUCACCAAAGGAGAUUACAAUUCGGGGUACGAGUUCCUGAGAACCUGCUGUUAAUACGCCAGCGUAUUUAAUGUCACUUGGAACCUGCAAGUUAGGUACAUCCGAUCUUCUCCCCAAAUGAAGGACCGUGGCACAGGUACGCUUGGAUGCUGUGGAACUCACCACAUCGAACAGCCUGGCUUUGGACUCAUUGGCAGUUAUAUUGCCUCAGCUUCCAGAGUGCUGGGAUUAUAGGCAUGUGUCACCAUGCACAGCUCUGUUCUGUAUUUUGAGACAGGGUCUCACUUUCUAACCCUGCUGAGUUACAGCAGGAAGCUUCCUGCCCUGGCCUCCAGAGUGCUGGGCUUCAGGUGUAUAUAACCACACCCAAGUUACUUUCUGUAUCUUAGGAUGUUUUGGCAUUUCCCAAAGCUUGAAGGCUUGGAGACUUAAUGCUUUUAGGGUAGGUUAUUGUUUGGAGCCACAAAGCAAAACAAAACAAAAC